rnacentral:lncRNA from 1 species
AUGGAACCUGGGGGGAUGGUUCCAUUGCCCCAAACUAGAAGCAACCAAGACGCCCUCCCAGGUGAACAGGGCCAACCCUGCUGGAUGCACGGCUUCCCCUCCCUGACCGUGGCAGGAAUGGAAAGCAAACCACCUCCGGCUUCCUUUUCCUCCAAAUCAGUGCCCAUCACGUCUCCCGCUGUGAGUCUGCAGAAGCUGGCUGUUCCCACCCAAGGGCCUGCUUGCUUCAGAAGUGAUUUGUCCACAGUGAGAUGCAAAAUAAGCCUGUUUGUGUUUGAAGACUCAGAAGAGACUGCAACCCCUUGGAGGCACGAUGGGUUCGGGCCGCCUGUUGAAUGUGGACCACAGGAGGUUCGGCUCCUACCUGACAGAUGGCCCACGGCCCUCCCCGCCAGCCCACGUGCUAACCAUCCUCACGUGCAGAUUUGAACCCCUGUCCCACAGUGCACCAGGACCCCUGCCAAAUUCUUACAUCCUGCCCUGAAAAUAAGGCCCAUGUACAACAUCUGACCCGGACAAGCCUCUCGUGGGCUCUAUAAAAAUUCUUCUCUGGGUCAAUCUCAACUAUUAAAACAAUUUGUAGGAAAACAAAAAGUGUUGAAAAUAAAUACACCAAAACACGAAUAAUCA